rfam:Pteropus alecto contig76209, whole genome shotgun sequence.
GUCUUCGGCCAUUCUACCUUGAACAAGCCCCAUCCCAUCUGAUCUUGAAGCUAAGCAGGGUUGGUCCUGGUUAGUACUUGGAUGGGAGUCCACCAGGGAAGACUGGGUACUGUAGGCA